GAAUCCCAGUCUUCCUCCAACUCUUUUCAACUUUCUGGUCUACUUCUGCAUCUGGUUCUAGAUUCUUACAAGCUGCUGGGUCAUGGAAAAGCUUUGGUUUCCUGGCAGAAGAAUCAAGAAAAAUGCAGAAGACGGGGUGAGAGUGAAUGUGUUUGAGGUGACUUUAGAUAUACAGAACUCCCACUGACUACCAAAAGUUUUGUCUGGCGUAAGAAGAUAGAAAUUAGAAGAGCUUUAGCUAAGGAGGCUGAGAGACACUUGGCCUGAGUGAUUCCUAAAAGAUACCUGAAAGGU